AACUAAGUUUGUUCUUGGUAUAAGUGUUCAUGUGCAUGCACACUUCUUCAGAUUCUUCGGGUAUCUGAAGAAGUGUGCAUGCACAUGAAAGCUUAUACCAAGAACAAACUUAGUUAG
rnacentral:miRNA from 1 species